rnacentral:lncRNA from 1 species
CGCCCAGAGGGCGUCCCCUGCAGGAGAGCUUCAUGCGCCUGGUGGAGGCCUGUGGGGACUCGGAGCAAAGCAUGGACAACUGGCUGAGUCGGCUGGACGGCUGCCGCUGACUGUAACAUGUAAAGCAGGCACUGAGCACCACCUGCCUGGCAGUCCAGGGCAUGGAGAGGCACAGACAGCACCCUGCUUGUGACUUCACUGGCCCAACUCAUCCUGGACCCCUUGAGCAAGACCAUGGCUGGAUUCCAGGAACUGGUGGAGUGGAAGUGGAUCCAGGAAAAUGCCGUGUGAAGGGAGGACUCAGAUGCACUCCCUGUGGUCUGGGCUCAACCAGCCAAAAGAGCAACAAAGACUCCAGAACCCACUCUACCUCCUCAAUCCCUUGG